AACAAAUUGCUGUAUAAAAACGGCCAAAACUGAACAGUAUCAUACUGUUUCUAUUGAAAACGGUACUGCACCGUGAAAAACAAUGCAUUCUGGGCAAUUAUUACUGUUUUUAAUAAAAUACUGUAAUAUACUGUGAGUAGCAUUGCAUUUUGGGAAUGAUGUUAGAUUCAACGGCAAGGAGACUCUCUUUAAACAGAACGCUACUGUAUUUCACAAGAAGACACGUUGUUGUGACAUGUGGAAGCAACCUCUAGAAUUUUCUUUACAAGGACUAUCCAUUUGAAUCCUGCAUUUUAUGAGCCAAUCCGGUGGAAAAGACCAUGUGACUGCUGGGCACUGGAUGAUCAGUCUUGAGAGCCAUAUUGUAUGUGAGGGCAUUCAACCAACCUUUGUGACAGGGCUUGCUGCACUGUUUUCAAUGUACUACACCUACAAUAUCAAGAAGAGGCUGCAUGUACACUUGAAUUCAUCCAGAGGCACUUUCUUGAUAUCAACCCUGAAAGAGGGACCAAGGCCAGCUGUGGCAAGAUCGUCUCCAAGAGGACAGGAAAUACUGUUCAAAAGAAGUUGGUCACUG